rnacentral:rRNA from 1 species
CUACGGGUCGCAGCAGUGGGGAAUAUUGGACAAUGGGGGAAACCCUGAUCCAGCCAUGCCACGUGAAUGAUGAAGGCCCUCGGGUUGUAAAGUUCUUUUGGUGGGGACGAUGAUGACGGUACCCACAGAAUAAGCUCCGGCUAACUUCGUGCCAGCAGCCGCGGUAAUACGAAGGGAGCUAGCGUUGUUCGGAAUUACUGGGCGUAAAGGGUGCGUAGGCGGUUUAACAAGUCAGGUGUGAAAGCCCCGAGCUCAACUCGGGAACUGCGCUUGAUACUGUUAAGCUAGCAUUCGGAAGAGGUGAGUGGAAUUCCCAGUGUAGAGGUGAAAUUCGUAGAUAUUGGGAAGAACACCGGUGGCGAAGGCGGCUCACUGGUCCGACAUUGACGCUGAGGCACGAAAGCGUGGGGAGCAAACAGGAUUAGAUACCCCAGUAGUC